UUAAGCGACUAAGCGUACACGGUGGAUGCCCUGGCAGUCAGAGGCGAUGAAGGGCGUGCUAAUCUGCGAUAAGCUCCGGUAAGGUGAUAUGAACCGUUAUAACCGGCGAUACCCGAAUGGGGAAACCCAGUGUGAUUCGUCACACUAUCAUUAACUGAAUCCAUAGGUUAAUGAGGCGAACCGGGGGAACUGAAACAUCUAAGUACCCCGAGGAAAAGAAAUCAACCGAGAUUCCCCCAGUAGCGGCGAGCGAACGGGGAGGAGCCCAGAGCCUGAAUCAGCAUGUGUGUUAGUGGAAGCGUCUGGAAAGGCGCGCGAUACAGGGUGACAGCCCCGUACACAAAAGCGCAUGUGCUGUGAGCUCGAUGAGUAGGGCGGGACACGUGGUAUCCUGUCUGAAUAUGGGGGGACCAUCCUCCAAGGCUAAAUACUCCUGACUGACCGAUAGUGAACCAGUACCGUGAGGGAAAGGCGAAAAGAACCCCGGCGAGGGGAGUGAAAAAGAACCUGAAACCGUGUACGUACAAGCAGUGGGAGCACCCUUCGGGGUGUGACUGCGUACCUUUUGUAUAAUGGGUCAGCGACUUAUAUUCUGUAGCAAGGUUAACCGUAUAGGGGAGCCGGAGGGAAACCGAGUCUUAACCGGGCGUUAAGUUGCAGGGUAUAGACCCGAAACCCGGUGAUCUAGCCAUGGGCAGGUUGAAGGUUGGGUAACACUAACUGGAGGACCGAACCGACUAAUGUUGAAAAAUUAGCGGAUGACCUGUGGCUGGGGGUGAAAGGCCAAUCAAACCGGGAGAUAGCUGGUUCUCCCCGAAAGCUAUUUAGGUAGCGCCUCGUGAAUUCAUCUCCGGGGGUAGAGCACUGUUUCGGCUAGGGGGCCAUCCCGGCUUACCAACCCGAUGCAAACUGCGAAUACCGGAGAAUGUUAUCACGGGAGACACACGGCGGGUGCUAACGUCCGUCGUGAAGAGGGAAACAACCCAGACCGCCAGCUAAGGUCCCAAAGUCAUGGUUAAGUGGGAAACGAUGUGGGAAGGCCCAGACAGCCAGGAUGUUGGCUUAGAAGCAGCCAUCAUUUAAAGAAAGCGUAAUAGCUCACUGGUCGAGUCGGCCUGCGCGGAAGAUGUAACGGGGCUAAACCAUGCACCGAAGCUGCGGCAGCGAACGUAUCACCCAAGACAACUUUACGGAGUUGACGAUUGACGGAGCGAAGCGACGUCAAAGCGUUCAUUAAAGUCGAGUUGGCUUAGGGAUACGUUCGUUGGGUAGGGGAGCGUUCUGUAAGCCUGUGAAGGUGUGUCGUGAGGCAUGCUGGAGGUAUCAGAAGUGCGAAUGCUGACAUAAGUAACGAUAAAGCGGGUGAAAAGCCCGCUCGCCGGAAGACCAAGGGUUCCUGUCCAACGUUAAUCGGGGCAGGGUGAGUCGACCCCUAAGGCGAGGCCGAAAGGCGUAGUCGAUGGGAAACGGGUUAAUAUUCCCGUACUUGGUGUUACUGCGAAGGGGGGACGGAGAAGGCUAUGUUGGCCGGGCGACGGUUGUCCCGGUUUAAGCGUGUAGGUGUGUGUUCCAGGUAAAUCCGGUUCACUUUAACACUGAGGCGUGACGACGAGGCACUACGGUGCUGAAGCAACAAAUGCCCUGCUUCCAGGAAAAGCCUCUAAGCAUCAGGUAACACGAAAUCGUACCCCAAACCGACACAGGUGGUCAGGUAGAGAAUACCAAGGCGCUUGAGAGAACUCGGGUGAAGGAACUAGGCAAAAUGGUGCCGUAACUUCGGGAGAAGGCACGCUGACACGUAGGUGAAGUGAUUUACUCAUGGAGCUGAAGUCAGUCGAAGAUACCAGCUGGCUGCAACUGUUUAUUAAAAACACAGCACUGUGCAAACACGAAAGUGGACGUAUACGGUGUGACGCCUGCCCGGUGCCGGAAGGUUAAUUGAUGGGGUCAGCGCAAGCGAAGCUCCUGAUCGAAGCCCCGGUAAACGGCGGCCGUAACUAUAACGGUCCUAAGGUAGCGAAAUUCCUUGUCGGGUAAGUUCCGACCUGCACGAAUGGCGUAAUGAUGGCCAGGCUGUCUCCACCCGAGACUCAGUGAAAUUGAACUCGCUGUGAAGAUGCAGUGUACCCGCGGCAAGACGGAAAGACCCCGUGAACCUUUACUAUAGCUUGACACUGAACAUUGAGCCUUGAUGUGUAGGAUAGGUGGGAGGCUUUGAAGUGUGGACGCCAGUCUGCAUGGAGCCGACCUUGAAAUACCACCCUUUAAUGUUUGAUGUUCUAACGUGGACCCGUAAUCCGGGUUGCGGACAGUGUCUGGUGGGUAGUUUGACUGGGGCGGUCUCCUCCUAAAGAGUAACGGAGGAGCACGAAGGUUGGCUAAUCCUGGUCGGACAUCAGGAGGUUAGUGCAAUGGCAUAAGCCAGCUUGACUGCGAGCGUGACGGCGCGAGCAGGUGCGAAAGCAGGUCAUAGUGAUCCGGUGGUUCUGAAUGGAAGGGCCAUCGCUCAACGGAUAAAAGGUACUCGGGGAUAACAGGCUGAUACCGCCCAAGAGUUCAUAUCGACGGCGGUGUUUGGCACCUCGAUGUCGGCUCAUCACAUCCUGGGGCUGAAGUAGGUCCCAAGGGUAUGGCUGUUCGCCAUUUAAAGUGGUACGCGAGCUGGGUUUAGAACGUCGUGAGACAGUUCGGUCCCUAUCUGCCGUGGGCGCUGGAGAACUGAGGGGGGCUGCUCCUAGUACGAGAGGACCGGAGUGGACGCAUCACUGGUGUUCGGGUUGUCAUGCCAAUGGCACUGCCCGGUAGCUAAAUGCGGAAGAGAUAAGUGCUGAAAGCAUCUAAGCACGAAACUUGCCCCGAGAUGAGUUCUCCCUGAGACUUAGAGUCUCCUGAAGGAACGUUGAAGACGACGACGUUGAUAGGCCGGGUGUGUAAGCGCAGCGAUGCGUUGAGCUAACCGGUACUAAUGAACCGUGAGGCUUAACCUU
rnacentral:rRNA from 1 species